GAGAUGUCUCGCGCAGCAUUUGUUGUGCUUUACAGAUCUCACGUCCUCAAAUCAUGUUAAAAGCACCUUAAAGGACAUUUGCUAGACUUGUGAAGCAACACACUUGUGUGUUUGUGGGUUUAUUUUUUUUAUUUCACAAGAGUUGUAGAUAGUGGCAGAACAAUCUGACCUAGAUGACUGAGAACCUCCAAGGUUUCACAAUGGUUUCAACCAAAACCUCUGCUGAGAAUGACCCACGCCUUUUUCCACACCUUGGUGUAUGUGGUGAGGUGCACGGCCAAUAGGCCAUUUGGCUUUAUAAGAAAAUGAUCCUGGAUGAGGGUUCAGUCACUUUCUUUCCAAGCUCCUUAGACCAUAAUCUCCAGAUUUAACCAUGUUUAGGCAAAAUGGCUAAUCGCAAUUAUUUAUUUAGUUAUUUUAGAAUUCACUAUAGACUCAGAAGGCAAGUUGUUUGGCAAAAUAAACAUUUUUUUAUAUGGCUGCUCUGCGAUUUGCCACUAGAUUUGAUCAACUCUGUUGUUUAGCCAAACCAUACCAAUCAAACAGGUCACUCCCACCUGACCUACUUAGCUGAUCUAAUCUGGUCUUUCCUGCUCCACGACCUUCAAACAACGUUUCGUAAAAUGCAGUUUUAAAACGAGGAAAAGCUAGAAACAAAAACAAACAGCCUGUUGAUGCACGCAAACCUACGAAAUCUGUGAAAAAAUUAUUGAUCUUUAUACAACUGGUAGCUUUAAACAACAAUAAGGUCACAAUGUGACAUGACAUUUAGCUCUGUGCUGAUUAAUUCAGUCAUCCUACUCUACACAGGCUGUCUUUUGGUGUGAGGGCUCUGCUACAAAGCAAGGUGUUGAUCUUAAAGUCAAUAAUUUUCUGUGUUACAAAAAUUAUUUUAUUUCUGCCUGGAUAAAUCACGAUGGUAACUUAUGCUGAACACAUAACUUGGUCAGAAUAAGGUUAUGUUCUGAGUUUUGGCUCAUCUAGAAGUUUUUUUUCAUUUAUGGCAUAUAAUAAGUGUGAUAUAAAUUUGGAUUAUCUGCUGGGGCUAUAUGUUUUAUUUGUGCACCUUGUUAAGAUGUAAGUUACUAACAUAAAGAAUGAAGCCCAGCUGCAAUUUUACAGCAAUGCAAACUGUGCCUGCAUUGCUAGAAUUUGUAUGUAUUAAUUUCGUGAUGCAGAAAAUGUCUAUUUAAUUUUUAUAUAUUUUAUGUAAUCUGGUGCCAAGUCUCUUUUACAAUGCUGGUAUUGCAACCUAGUAGAACACAGAAGACACAGAGGAUACCUAUUCAAUCAGUAAAAUUAAAAUCACUUCGCUCUGAAGUGAUUUCGAGCCUAAUAAAGUGAUUCCUUUGUUAGUCUGUAGGACAGCAAUUUAAUGUAUAAAUAAUUCCAGUUUCAGAAUUCUAAUCUGUUGGCAUCACACUGUAAAUAAACAGAGACGCAG
ensembl:lncRNA